rnacentral:rRNA from 1 species
ACGUACGCUGGCGGCACGCCUAACACAUGCAAGUCGAACGAAGUAGCAAUACUUAGUGGCAGACGGGUGAGUAACAUGUAGGUAUCUGCCCUUUGGCCUGGAAUAACACGAGGAAACUUGUGCUAAUACCGGAUAAGUCUUUACGGAGAAAGCUUUAUGCACCAUUGGAUGAGCCUGCACUUGAUUAGUUUGUUGGUGGGGUAAUGGCCUACCAAGACUGUGAUCAAUAGCUGAUUUGAGAGGAUGAUCAGCCACAUUGGGACUGAGACACGGCCCAAACUCCUACGGGAGGCAGCAGUGGGGAAUCUUGCACAAUGGAGGAAACUCUGAUGCAGCGAUGCCGCGUGAGUGAAGAAGGCCUUUGGGUUGUAAAGCUCUUUCGUCGGGGAAGAAAAUGACUGUACCCGAAUAAGAAGGUCCGGCUAACUUCGUGCCAGCAGCCGCGGUAAUACGAAGGGACCUAGCGUAGUUCGGAAUUACUGGGCUUAAAGAGUUCGUAGGUGGUUGAAAAAGUUGGUGGUGAAAUCCCAGAGCUUAACUCUGGAACUGCCAUCAAAACUUUUCAGCUAGAGUAUGAUAGAGGAAAGCAGAAUUUCUAGUGUAGAGGUGAAAUUCGUAGAUAUUAGAAAGAAUACCAAUUGCGAAGGCAGCUUUCUGGAUCAUUACUGACACUGAGGAACGAAAGCAUGGGUAGCGAAGAGGAUUAGAUACCCUCGUAGUCCAUGCCGUAAACGAUGUGUGUUAGACGUUGGAAAUUUAUUUUCAGUGUCGCAGGGAAACCGAUAAACACACCGCCUGGGGAGUACGACCGCAAGGUUAAAACUCAAAUGAAUUGACGGGGACCCGCACAAGUAGUGGAGCAUGUGGUUUAAUUCGAAGAUACGCGCAGAACCUUACCAACACUUGACAUGUUCGUCGCGACUCUAAGAGAUUAGAGUUUUCGGUUCGGCCGGACGAAACACAGGUGCUGCAUGGCUGUCGUCAGCUCGUGUCGUGAGAUGUUGGGUUAAGUCCCGCAACGAGCGCAACCCUCACUUUUAGUUGCCAUCAUUAAGUUGGGCACUCUGAAAGAACUGCCAGUGAUAAGCUGGAGGAAGGUGGGGAUGACGUCAAGUCCUCAUGGCCCUUACGUGUUGGGCUACACACGUGCUACAAUGGUAUCUACAACAGGAAGCAAGACUGCGAAGUUAAGCAAAUCCCUAAAAGAUACCUCAGUUCGGAUUGCACUCUGCAACUCGAGUGCAUGAAGCUGGAAUUACUAGUAAUCGUGGAUCAGCGUGCCACGGUGAAUGCGUUCCCGGGUCUUGUACACACCGCCCGUCAAGG